rnacentral:rRNA from 1 species
AGAGACCGGCGCACGGGUGCGUAACGCGUAUGCAAUCUACCUUUUACAGAGGGAUAGCCCAGAGAAAUUUGGAUUAAUACCUCAUAGCAUAGCAAUCUCGCAUGAGAUCACUAUUAAAGUCACAACGGUAAAAGAUGAGCAUGCGUCCCAUUAGCUAGUUGGUAAGGUAACGGCUUACCAAGGCUACGAUGGGUAGGGGUCCUGAGAGGGAGAUCCCCCACACUGGUACUGAGACACGGACCAGACUCCUACGGGAGGCAGCAGUGAGGAAUAUUGGACAAUGGGCGCAAGCCUGAUCCAGCCAUGCCGCGUGCAGGAUGACGGUCCUAUGGAUUGUAAACUGCUUUUAUACGAGAAGAAACACUCCAACGUGUUGGAGCUUGACGGUAUCGUAAGAAUAAGGAUCGGCUAACUCCGUGCCAGCAGCCGCGGUAAUACGGAGGAUCCAAGCGUUAUCCGGAAUCAUUGGGUUUAAAGGGUCCGUAGGCGGUUUAGUAAGUCAGUGGUGAAAGCCCAUCGCUCAACGGUGGAACGGCCAUUGAUACUGCUAAACUUGAAUUAUUAGGAAGUAACUAGAAUAUGUAGUGUAGCGGUGAAAUGCUUAGAGAUUACAUGGAAUACCAAUUGCGAAGGCAGGUUACUACUAAUGGAUUGACGCUGAUGGACGAAAGCGUGGGUAGCGAACAGGAUUAGAUACCCUGGUAGUCCACGCCGUAAACGAUGGAUACUAGCUGUUGGAAGCAAUUUCAGUGGCUA